rnacentral:rRNA from 2 species
ACAUGAUAAGUCGCCCUUUAAUUGUGGGCUUGUAUGAAAGGACAAACGAAGGCUUUCCUGUCUCAAUAAUAUUUAUAAAAAUUGGCCUUCAGGUGAAAAGACCUGAAUAAUACUAGAGGACAAAAAGACCCCGUAGAGCUCCGUAUUUAAGUAACACCUUAUUUAAUUCCCGCCGAAUAUAAAACACAUUAACUAAAAAUACUUGGCUGGGGCGGCUAUGGAAAAAACAACUUCCACAUAUCUACAUCAGAUUUACACAUCUAUUAAAAACUAUGAUCCUUAUUAAGAUCAAAGAAACUAGCUACCUCGGGGAAACAGACUAAUCCCUUUUGAGAGUUCACAUUGACAAAGGGCUUUGGCACCUCGAUGUUGGCUUAGGGUAACCAUCGGAUUCGCAGCAGUCCGACAAGGUAGGUUUGUUCAACCUUUAAAACCCU